rnacentral:rRNA from 1 species
GAUGAACGCUGGCGGCGUGCCUAAUACAUGCAAGUCGAGCGAACAGAUGAGGAGCUUGCUCCUCUGACGUUAGCGGCGGACGGGUGAGUAACACGUGGAUAACCUACCUAUAAGACUGGGAUAACUUCGGGAAGCCGGAGCUAAUACCGGAUAAUAUAUUGAACCGCAUGGUUCAAUAGUGAAAGACGGUUUUGCUGUCACUUAUAGAUGGAUCCGCGCCGCAUUAGCUAGUUGGUAAGGUAACGGCUUACCAAGGCAACGAUGCGUAGCCGACCUGAGAGGGGGAUCGGCCACACUGGAACUGAGACACGGUCCAGACUCCUACGGGAGGCAGCAGUAGGGAAUCUUCCGCAAUGGGCGAAAGCCUGACGGAGCAACGCCGCGUGAGUGAUGAAGGUCUUCGGAUCGUAAAACUCUGUUAUUAGGGAAGAACAAAUGUGUAAGUAACUAUGCACGUCUUGACGGUACCUAAUCAGAAAGCCACGGCUAACUACGUG